rnacentral:lncRNA from 10 species
CUCGCCACACCGCCUCCCCAUUGGCUGCGGCGCCGCCCCCAACCCAGAGCGCUGCGGCCUCCGUGAGCGGGGCCUGGGCGAAGGGGGCGGGGCGUCGAGGGGGCGCCCCGGCGGUCGCAGGGAAGGGGGAGAGGGGAGCGAGGCGCGGGGGGCGCCGGGAGAGCGCCUCCGCGGUGGGACGGAGCCGGACUGGGCCGAGCGAGGGAGGCUCCUGAGCCUCGGAGGACCCCGGGGUUGGCUUUGGGAGCUGAAAGUUUCCUUGGACCCCUCGGAAGCCCCGUGACAUCAGAGGCCGGGCCUGGCAGGGGCAGGCAGGAAACGUGUCUGGAGGCUACUGCCCUCUCCGCGUGACCUUGGGCGAGCAGCCUCCUCCUGGGGCUCAGUGGGUGUGAUUUUGUAACAUUUCCCAGCGCUGCCACAGGCGCGUCUCGCCCUGUCCAACGCGGAGCCCGAAGAAUUACUAAGAAACCGAGGUCUGAAGGAGGGAAGAGGUGACGGGCUCGAGGCCACACGGUGGGCCAGGCUGGGCCCGGCUGCACGCCGGCUACCGGGGCCCAGCCCUCUGCACGCCUCCCGCAGCCUCAGUUUCCCUGUCCGUGGUACUGAGGAUGCUCGGGCCUAGAAGUUCAGGGCUGGAGGCCCAGGGACCGUCGAGGGAGGGGCAUCAUCCCCGCCAUGGGGCCGCCGCAACUGCCCAGAGCACAGGCCAAAGGAAGCUGCAGGAUGAAGACAACAGCAUCACAAGGAGGAAGCCAGGAUCCCUGUGUUACCACAAGGAGGAGAGAUGCCUAACCAAGACCGUCUGCAAGGAUUUUGUGUGAGCCAGAAGCAGAGCUGUAUGGUGUUCAGCCACUGAGAUUUGAGGGCUGUUUGUUACAGCAGUUGACCUAUCCUGACUGACACAUCACAUCAUUCCUUUCCCCACCAUGUGUCUAACAUGCUACCAAAUUGAAUUUUAAGUAAAUUAGUACUUAUAAAUUAAGUACAAAUGCUUUUCAAAUUCACAUGAAUCUUUGGUAAAUAAAACUGGUUGUAAAAUUAUUGAUAAAUAUAGA